rnacentral:rRNA from 1 species
CCUACGGGCGGCAGCAGUGGGGAAUAUUGGACAAUGGGCGAAAGCCUGAUCCAGCCAUGCCGCGUGUGUGAAGAAGGCCUUCGGGUUGUAAAGCACUUUCAGUGGGGGAGAAAGCCUUGGGGCUAAUACCCUCGAGGAAGGACAUCACCCACAGAAGAAGCACCGGCUAACUCCGUGCCAGCAGCCGCGGUAAUACGGAGGGUGCGAGCGUUAAUCGGAAUUACUGGGCGUAAAGCGCGCGUAGGCGGUCUGAUAAGCCGGUUGUGAAAGCCCCGGGCUCAACCUGGGAACGGCAUCCGGAACUGUCAGGCUAGAGUGCAGGAGAGGAAGGUAGAAUUCCCGGUGUAGCGGUGAAAUGCGUAGAGAUCGGGAGGAAUACCAGUGGCGAAGGCGGCCUUCUGGACUGACACUGACGCUGAGGUGCGAAAGCGUGGGUAGCAAACAGGAUUAGAUACCCUAGUAGUC